CAAAACGACUCUCGGCAACGGAUAUCUCGGCUCUCGCAUCGAUGAAGAACGUAGCAAAAUGCGAUACUUGGUGUGAAUUGCAGAAUCCCGUGAACCAUCGAGUCUUUGAACGCAAGUUGCGCCCGAAGCCUUCGGGUUGAGGGCACGUCUGCUUGGG
rnacentral:rRNA from 1 species